rnacentral:lncRNA from 1 species
AACUUUGGAAUAGGUGGGGGAAUAAGUACAAAAGAGAAGAGGAGGAGAGGGAGAUGGACAUGCUGUGAAACGUCCUUGAUAGGAUACGCCUUCUCGUGUAUGCGUCGUGUAUCCGUGCGCAAGAAAAUGUGCUCGCUUUGGAUGCUAACGUGGUACAUGCGCUCUGUGCUUUUAAUGCCGCAUCGUCGACAGGUCAGUCAAGAAACAAAGCGCAAAAUCAAAUUCGAGGAUACCAUGAUCUGGCGGGCUUUUUUCAGUCACUCAACAUCUCGCAACUGUCAAAUUCGAUGAUACAGAACGAAACGAUGUUCUGUGAGCAUUUCUAUUGCAAAUAUUUUUUCUUAAAUAUUAUUUAGAUCUCAGAUCAGAGAUUCAACAAGUACGUGUGCAUAAUAAAUAUUAUACCAAUUUAUAAAGUUUAUAAUAACCGAGAAGAAUUGUGACAAACGAAAUGUUAAUUUAUUAUAACGAACAAAUAAACUAGGAAGCAAAUAUAAAAUAGAACGAUGGAUAGAAAGAUGAAUGAAGAAAAAUUUUUUUAGGGCAAUCAAAGGAAUUUUGGUGAAAAAUAGAUGAACUCGAAAGAUAAGGAAUAAAAGAAUAAAGGAGAAGGAAAAUAAGCAGAUGUUAAAAAAUAAGUAGAAGCGACGCACUGUGAGAGGCAGAAGGCAACCGACAGCGUGUGUACCGUUGUUUUUAGUUGGAAAAAUACGGUGAGAUAAGAGAGUGGAAGAGGUGGAAAAUCGGCGAUAGGGGAAACUGCGCAAGAGGGAGGGAGAAAGCUCGAGGAACCAAAAAGCGAGUAAGGGGUAAGAUGAACGAGAAAGAGAGAGAGAAGAAAGGGAAUAGGAAAAAGAAGGACAGAUAAACGCGAAGCUGAUAGCAAGGCAAGGGCAUCGUGGGUCGUCGAAGUAGGGGAACAGAGCGAAGGGUAGAAUCGAGGCAAAGGGAAACAGACAUUUGGGGUGGAGAUGGUCGGAGCUCCCUGGACGGGAACGAUAAAAAGAAGAUGGCGGAUCACGCGACACUUUUUUGCCCUAUGUCAAUAUGCAGAGUAAGCAACAUGGGAUUCCUGGAUCGGUGAAGAACAUGUUUGAGAUAUCGACGAUAUUGGUAUCGCUAUCGAUUCACGGUAACACGCCGUGCAAAUUUUUGUUACAGGUAAUAUAAUCACUGGCUGAUGGUCGGUCGAAGAUAUAGACGAUAUAGAUGAUUUCCCGGAGAAGAGAAAGGAUCCAUUCUACGAGUCGCGUUGCUUCUCGGAAGAACGGAAAUGGGUAUAAAGGGUAGGAGGGUUGAAAGAGAAAGGGGAUAGAUGAUGAUAACUGCGUGAAGAGGAAGAGAGAGAGAGAGAGAGAGAGAGAGACGUAGGUGGAAAGAGAGACGAGAUAGAGGCGCGCGCGCAAGAGAUCCACCCGAGAUUACAACUGGCACGAAUACGUAGAUGGAAAAGAGAUAGAUAGAAACCGAAAGAGAUGGAGGAGGAUCGGUUAGAAAGCAACGGUAAUAGGGGGGGAAGAAAGAGAAGAGGAGAGAGUUAAAUAGGGAGAGAGCGGUGGCGAGCAGGGAAGGGUGGUUAAAAGAGGAAAAUCGCGUGAAACGAAAGCACGAACAAGAUGGGGAAAGUAUCGGUUGGAAGGAGGGGUAGGGAGUAGAAAUAGGGAGAGAGGGGAUCAACGGAGGGAGAAAUUUCGGCGCGUGUGUGUGCGUGUGCGCGUGCGAGUUGGAAAGACAGGCCGUGAGACGAAAGGUGCACCGAAGUUUCCGUCGUCUCUCGAAGAGGGACUCUCGGCACGUUCGUUAUACGACCCGCGCGUAGUUGCUGGUGCGCGGCUACGGGGUCGGUGUUUCCGUGUCACGCGCACGACCCCAAAAAAGUGUGUAUGUGCGUGCGUGGCUGCGUGGUUUAACUGCCGUCCGCGUUGCAGGCUUGCUUUUAGUUCGCGCGACCACGAACGCGGAAUUUUACGAACGUGGAAUAUUUUUGAAAGGAAAGGACGAGCGGAAGAAAGGAAAGAAGAAAGAAAGAAGAGGGAAGGAAAGAGACAGAGAAAAGAAAGAAAUCGAAUCAUUUUCACGAAACGGAAUCAUUAUCGGUCGCGCCACCAUCGCGACCGUCGAUAAAGAUUGGUGGUCCAAAACCGCGAAAAGUGGAUUCGUCGAUCGUACCGAAACGUUCCAAACGCUGCACCUUUCCGUUAAUUUUCACGCCGAUACGCGCCAUUCUAAACUUUUCUUGCCUCUCGGAACGAGAAGCAGUGCGACAGAAACAAAGAACAAGGAUAUAAGAGAGAGAGAGAGAGGAGAGAAAACAAGAAGAAAAAGAAGAAAAAGAAGAGAAGAAAAACGUUGAUGGGUCGCGCGCUGGUCCACGCAAAACUUCCUUUAGACCCGCAUGAUAGAAACUGAACGUUGAAGUUAAGCAAACGGGAUUGCACGUACCUAUACCUCGUCUGUAUUUGUAGUCGAAACAUGCUGGAUAUUAAAAGCACGCGACUCUUCUUUCACGACAAUUCGACCGAGUGAGUCGACGCGACACGACGCGAUUUCGAAGGUGCGCCACGGUCGAGACGAUACGGUGCCACGAGGACCGACCAUCCAGCUCAUCCAAAUUUUCUCUGGGAACAACUUAUCUCUCGAAAUCCUGGCUAAGAUUCGAUACUCGUACGGUGGAUAAAACCGUUCCGGAUAUCCGAGUGAACCGAUCGGACGCGUGAUCCGUCCGUUUUGUGCCUCGUCUAGUGUUUCGCGUAUCGAAACGACACAAGUGGAAUCGUCGAGUUUGUAAAAA